AAGGCCCUUCCGCGGCUCCUGCCGCAGCAGUGCGCCACGACCGCUGCGCCGCAGACCCCGGGGGCAGCGCUGUGCUUGUUUGUGCUGACAGCAUCCGGCUGGGCCUGGGCGCACCGCACGAAGAGCCCAACCCGAGCAGGGCUGGGCUCGUUCCCCCUGAGGUCAUCCCUUCCCAAACGUGUUCUGUACGAUCUCGUUCCCACCGUCUCCACCAUAUUUAGUAAAUCACCCUAUGGGGGCAUAGUAACGGCGUAACUGCAUCAGGAAGUUGCCCAAAAUAGGGUUCCUCCCGGCUUCCGCUGCACUGAUCGUUACUGAUGUCACAGCAAGAUGACCAUGGAGCGUUCACUUCUCUGAUGUGGUAGGACGGUUGCUGGCAAAACAGCUCUCAGCUUGUUUGACAAUCGUUUAAAGUCUUAAGAGCUCCAGCCAAGGAAGCUUGGAGGGAAUAUAGAGCGUGACAGGCGUUCAGAAGUUGCUGUGCACUUUGUGCCUACACAAGCACCCGCUUUACAGUGUUCAGAUCCUGGUUUAUAACGAAUGGUCUGGCUGGUCUGACAGAGCAACGUUGGCCAUGACAGUAACUAAUCUUUCUGUCAACAGAUGCAGAGGCCCACUGGAGAGCAUACUUGUGAUUACAGUAAAUUAUAUGUAUCAAGAAGAAAAGGGGACCAAACCUGAGUCCCUCCAGGAGUUUGGGCAGAUUUUACCAGUUCAGCAAGAUGAAAACAAAUAAAAUCCAGCAAGCAAACCUGGAAACAAGUUAGCACAGAUUACUGCAGUAUACCUAAUUCGUUCUAUACGUAAAGCAGAGGAGUACUUAAAGACACAAAGGUAAGGCAACCUUUAUAAUAUUUCUACUUGAUUUCAGCCAUGGGCUGGUGAACUCGAGACUACUCUCUGCCUGAUACUAAAGGCAGUAGUAGCUUUUAGAUUU
ensembl:lncRNA